rnacentral:rRNA from 1 species
GACGAACGCUGGCGGCGUGCUUAACACAUGCAAGUCGAACGGAAAGGCCCUGCUUGUGUGGGGUGCUCGAGUGGCGAACGGGGGAGUAACACGUGAGUAACCUGCCCUUGACUUUGGGAUAACUUCAGGAAACUGGGGCUAAUACCGGAUAGGAGCUCCUGCUGCAUGGUGGGGGUUGGAAAGUUUCGGCGGUUGGGGAUGGACGCGCGGCUUAUCAGCUUGUUGGUGGGGUAGGGGCUUACCAAGGCUUUGACGGGUAGCCGGCCGGAGAGGGUGACCGGCCACCUUGGGCCUGCGAUACGGCCCAGACUCCUACGGGAGGCAGCAGUGGGGAAUCUUGCACAAUGGGCGGAAGCCUGAUGCAGCAACGCCGCGUGCGGGAUGACGGCCUUCGGGUUGUAAACCGCUUUCGCCUGUGACGAAGCGUGAGUGACGGUAAUGGGUAAAGAAGCACCGGCUAACUACGUG